rnacentral:misc_RNA from 1 species
UCGAACUGCAAUGCGAGCAUUGCAAAAUAAGCCUCUGCGAAGGAGAAAACUAGACAUACAUUUCUCAAUCCCUAAGGAUAACCCCUCUGACAAAGAUGUAAAUCAAGGAACUCUUGUGGUUUUUAAUUUAGAUCCAUCUAUAUCAAAUGAUGACCUCCGCAGAGUAUUUGGGCCUUAUGGUGAGAUCAAAGAGAUAAGGGAAACACCAUACAAGAAGCACCAUAAGUUUAUCGAAUAUUACGAUGUCAGAGCUGCAGAAGCUGCCCUUAGGUCCUUACAUAAGAGAGACAUAGCUGGCAAGCGCAUAAAG